UGGGUACUGAGACACGGACCCAGGCCCUAUGGGGCGCAGCAGGCGAGAAAACUUUGCAAUGUGCGAAAGCACGACAAGGUUNAAUCGAGUGAUUUCUGCUAAAGAAAUCUUUUGCAAGUCAUAAAACCACUAGUGAAUAAGGGGUGGGCAAGUUCUGGUGUCAGCCGCCGCGGUAAAACCAGCACCUCAAGUGGUCAGGAUGAUUAUUGGGCCUAAAGCAUCCGUAGCCGGCUCUGUAAGUUUUCGGUUAAAUCUGUACGCUCAACGUACAGGCUGCCGGGAAUACUGCAAAGCUAGGGAGUGGGAGAAGUAGACGGUACUCGGUAGGAAGUGGUAAAAUGCUUUGAUCUAUCGAUGACCACCUGUGGCGAAGGCGGUCUACUAGAACACGUUCGACGGUGAGGGAUGAAAGCUGGGGGAGCAAACCGGAUUAGAUACCCGGGUAGUCCCAGCUGUAAACUAUGCAAACUCAGUGAUGCAUUGGCUUGCGGCCAAUGCAGUGCUGCAGGGAAGCCGUUAAGUUUGCCGCCUGGGAAGUACGUACGCAAGUAUGAAACUUAAAGGAAUUGGCGGGGGAGCACCACAAGGGGUGAAGCCUGCGGUUC
rnacentral:rRNA from 1 species